CCAGAGUGGUGAGGCUCAGGUUGAUGGCCAUCCCCUCCUUGAGACGGUCGGCCUCGGACGACGCCGAUCUCUGACGCUCGCUUCCUGCCAGGUCUACCAGGUUAAUGUUGGACUGUUUGGUGACACUCUCUUGAGUACAAUAGAAAAAAUGAGGGUGUCUAAGCCACCUGUGCUGCACUAUCACAAGGGACUGUACGCAGACCCUCCACAUAGAAGCCCCUGUGCUGCUCCUCUCGAACCCGGAGCCCCCCAGGAGGACGAGAACCACGGGACAGCAGAUCCACCACCUGUUAAGGUGUGAAGUUUUAAAAAGGAGGUAAUUUGCUAAGAUAAAGGUAUUGCCAUGAAAAAGAGAAUAACGUAAGAAGCGUUUUAAAGGACGAGGACAGACAGGGAUAAGACGGAAGGGUACCCAGGAUGCGGAAUAGGGUCAAGUGCCCAUCUCUGACAGUACUAAUGUGACCUCAGCCAUUUUGGGAGUUCUAUUAUUCAAAGUCAACUGCAGUGGCAGUUUCUGGCAUGUAUUUUAUUUUUUAACACAUAGUUUUUAAUAAAUGUGUGUCGUUAUUUGGGACAGAAUGUUGAAAAACAACCUUGGGAAAUGAGCCACAUGCUGCUUUGCCAUUCUCGCCUUGACUGUCAAAUCAUAGUCCAUCUACUUCAAGAGGACAACAAAACAUGUUACCAUGGCAACAUCAUUGGUUAUUUUACCUGCUCAUUGUAUAUUUCCAACAUACUGAAGAAGACCUGUGACGAUAUCAAACAUGAAGACAUUUAGAACAGACAUCCACAUACAGACAAAUGCAUGAAUAUGUACGUACAGCAGUAAAUUUAUUUACCUGG